CUUGGUCAUUUAGAGGAAGUAAAAGUCGUAACAAGGUUUCCGUAGGUGAACCUGCGGAAGGAUCAUUAUCGAAUCGUCGACACGAGCUGUCGCUGGCCCCCUGGGGCACGUGCACGCUCUGUUUGCACAUCCACUCACAUCUGUGCACCCUCCGUGGUUCUAUGGUCUAUAGGAGAGCGUAGUUCCACGUCGCCACACCCACUCUGUAAUAAAGUCUUAUGGAACGUAUGCCGCGUUUARCGCAAAGCAAUACAACUUUCAGCAACGGAUCUCUUGGCUCUCGCAUCGAUGAAGAACGCAGCGAAAUGCGAUAAGUAAUGUGAAUUGCAGAAUUCAGUGAAUCAUCGAAUCUUUGAACGCACCUUGCGCCCCUUGGCCAUUCCGAGGGGCAUGCCUGUUUGAGUAUCAUGAACAUCUCAACUCUCACGGUUCUCCGUGACGAGCUUGGACUUUGGGGGUUUUGCUGGCCUCUGCGGGUCGGCUCCUCUCAAAUGGAUCAGCUUUCCAGCGUUUGGGGGCAUCGCGGGUGUGAUAACCAUCUACGCUCGUGCUCGCCUGCCAUGUAACCUCUGGUGAUCAGAGGUUCGCUGGAGCUUACAAACGCCUCUCUUUGGCAUUUCAAACGUUCGAUCUCAAAUCAGGUAGGAACUACCCGCUGAACUUAAGCAUAUCAAUAAGCGGAGGA
rnacentral:rRNA from 1 species